GAUGAACGCUGGCGGCGUGCCUAAUACAUGCAAGUCGAGCGAACAGACGAGGAGCUUGCUCCUCUGACGUUAGCGGCGGACGGGUGAGUAACACGUGGAUAACCUACCUAUAAGACUGGGAUAACUUCGGGAAACCGGAGCUAAUACCGGAUAAUAUAUUGAACCGCAUGGUUCAAUAGUGAAAGACGGUUUUGCUGUCACUUAUAGAUGGAUCCGCGCCGCAUUAGCUAGUUGGUAAGGUAACGGCUUACCAAGGCAACGAUGCGUAGCCGACCUGAGAGGGUGUACGGCCCCAGUGGAACUGAGACGCGGCCCAGACUCCUACGGGAGGCAGCAGUAGGGAAUCUUCCGCAAAGGGCGAAAGCUUGACGGAGCAACGCCGCGUGAGUGAUGAAGGUCUUCGGAUCGUAAAACUCUGUUAUUAGGGAAGAACAAAUGUGUAAGUAACUAUGCACGUCUUGACGGUACCUAAUCAGAAAGCCACGGCUAACUACGUG
rnacentral:rRNA from 1 species